rnacentral:rRNA from 1 species
CCUACGGGUGGCAGCAGUGAGGAAUAUUGGUCAAUGGACGGAAGUCUGAACCAGCCAUGCCGCGUGCAGGAAGAAGGCUCUAUGGGUUGUAAACUGCUUUUGUACGGGGAUAAAACUGUCCACGUGUGGAGAUCUGCAAGUACCGUACGAAUAAGGAUCGGCUAACUCCGUGCCAGCAGCCGCGGUAAUACGGAGGAUGCAAGCGUUAUCCGGAUUUAUUGGGGUUAAAGGGUGCGUAGGUGGUUAGUUAAGUUAGCGGUGAAAGUUGGGGGCUUAACCCGGGAACUGCCUUUGAAACUGGACGACUAGAGUGUAGAUGAGGUAGGCGGAAUGCGUGGUGUAGCGGUGAAAUGCAUAGAGAUCACGCAGAACCCCGAUUGCGAAGGCAGCUUACCAAGCUAUGACUGACGCUGAGGCACGAAAGUGUGGGGAGCAAACAGGAUUAGAUACCCCAGUAGUC